rnacentral:rRNA from 1 species
UUGAACGCUGGCGGCAGGCCUAACACAUGCAAGUCGAACGGUAACAGGAAGCAGCUUGCUGCUUCGCUGACGAGUGGCGGACGGGUGAGUAAUGUCUGGGAAACUGCCUGAUGGAGGGGGAUAACUACUGGAAACGGUAGCUAAUACCGCAUAACGUCGCAAGACCAAAGAGGGGGACCUUCGGGCCUCUUGCCAUCGGAUGUGCCCAGAUGGGAUUAGCUAGUAGGUGGGGUAACGGCUCACCUAGGCGACGAUCCCUAGCUGGUCUGAGAGGAUGACCAGCCACACUGGAACUGAGACACGGUCCAGACUCCUACGGGAGGCAGCAGUGGGGAAUAUUGCACAAUGGGCGCAAGCCUGAUGCAGCCAUGCCGCGUGUAUGAAGAAGGCCUUCGGGUUGUAAAGUACUUUCAGCGGGGAGGAAGGGAGUAAAGUUAAUACCUUUGCUCAUUGACGUUACCCGCAGAAGAAGCACCGGCUAACUCCGUGCCAGCAGCCGCGGUAAUACGGAGGGUGCAAGCGUUAAUCGGAAUUACUGGGCGUAAAGCGCACGCAGGCGGUUUGUUAAGUCAGAUGUGAAAUCCCCGGGCUCAACCUGGGAACUGCAUCUGAUACUGGCAAGCUUGAGUCUCGUAGAGGGGGGUAGAAUUCCAGGUGUAGCGGUGAAAUGCGUAGAGAUCUGGAGGAAUACCGGUGGCGAAGGCGGCCCCCUGGACGAAGACUGACGCUCAGGUGCGAAAGCGUGGGGAGCAAACAGGAUUAGAUACCCUGGUAGUCCACGCCGUAAACGAUGUCGACUUGGAGGUUGUGCCCUUGAGGCGUGGCUUCCGGAGCUAACGCGUUAAGUCGACCGCCUGGGGAGUACGGCCGCAAGGUUAAAACUCAAAUGAAUUGACGGGGGCCCGCACAAGCGGUGGAGCAUGUGGUUUAAUUCGAUGCAACGCGAAGAACCUUACCUGGUCUUGACAUCCACGGAAGUUUUCAGAGAUGAGAAUGUGCCUUCGGGAACCGUGAGACAGGUGCUGCAUGGCUGUCGUCAGCUCGUGUUGUGAAAUGUUGGGUUAAGUCCCGCAACGAGCGCAACCCUUAUCCUUUGUUGCCAGCACGUAAAGGUGGGGACUCAUGGGAGACUGCCAGGGACAACCUGGAGGAAGGCGGGGAUGACGUCAAGUCAUCAUGGCCCUUACGACCAGGGCUACACACGUGCUACAAUGGCGCAUACAAAGAGAAGCGACCUCGCGAGAGCAAGCGGACCUCAUAAAGUGCGUCGUAGUCCGGAUUGGAGUCUGCAACUCGACUCCAUGAAGUCGGAAUCGCUAGUAAUCGUGGAUCAGAAUGCCACGGUGAAUACGUUCCCGGGCCUUGUACACACCGCCCGUCACACCAUGGGAGUGGGUUGCAAAAGAAGUAGGUAGCUUAACCUUCGGGAGGGCGCUUACCACUUUGUGAUUCAUGACUGGGGUG